GGAUUGAACGCUGGCGGCAUGCCUAACACAUGCAAGUCGAACGGGAGUAGCAAUACUCUAGUGGCGGACGGGUGAGGAAUACGUAGGAAUUUGCCCUUAAGUGGGGGAUAACCCGGGGAAACCCGGAUUAAUACCGCAUGACCUCGAAAGAGCAAAGUGGGGGAUCGCAAGACCUCACGCUUUUGGAGAAGCCUACGUCGGAUUAGCUAGUUGGUGAGGUAAUGGCUCACCAAGGCGACGAUCCGUAACUGGUCUGAGAGGAUGAUCAGUCACACCGGAACUGAGACACGGUCCGGACUCCUACGGGAGGCAGCAGUGGGGAAUAUUGGACAAUGGGCGACAAGCCUGAUCCAGCAAUGCCGCGUGUAGUCGAAGGAAGGCCUUCGGGUUAGUAAAGGCUACGUUUAAGGUUAGGGAAAGAAAAAACGUCGACUACUAACAACUAGUGAGUCGUGACGUAACCGACAAGAA
rnacentral:rRNA from 1 species